rnacentral:rRNA from 1 species
AUUGAACGCUGGCGGCAGGCUUAACACAUGCAAGUCGAGCGGAGAUGAGGUGCUUGCACCUUAUCUUAGCGGCGGACGGGUGAGUAAUGCUUAGGAAUCUGCCUAUUAGUGGGGGACAACAUUCCGACAGGAAUGCUAAUACCGCAUACGUCCUACGGGAGAAAGCAGGGGAUCUUCGGACCUUGCGCUACUCGAUGAGCCUAAGUCGGAUUAGCGAGUUGGUGGGGUAACGGCCUACCAAGGCGACGAUCUGUAGCGGGUCUGAGAGGAUGGUCCGCCACACUGGGACUGAGACACGGCCCAGACUCCUACGGGAGGCAGCAGUGGGGAAUAUUGGACAAUGGGGGGAACCCUGAUCCAGCCAUGCCGCGUGUGUGAAGAAGGCCUUAUGGUUGUAAAGCACUUUAAGCGAGGAGGAGGCUACUGAGACUAAUACUCUUGGAUAGUGGACGUUACUCGCAGAAUAAGCACCGGCUAACUCUGUGCCAGCCGCCGCAGUAAGAC